UUCAGUGCUGCAGCUAACGCAUUAAGUAAUCCGCCUGGGGAGUACGACCGCAAGGUUGAAACUCAAAAGAAUUGACGGGGGCCCGCACAAGCGGUGGAGCAUGUGGUUUAAUUCGAAGCUACGCGAAGAACCUUACCAGGUCUUGACAUCUUCUGACAGUCUAAGAGAUUAGAGGUUCCCUUCGGGGACAGAAUGACAGGUGGUGCAUGGUUGUCGUCAGCUCGUGUCGUGAGAUGUUGGGUUAAGUCCCGCAACGAGCGCAACCCUUAUUACUAGUUGCCAGCAUUAAGUUGGGCACUCUAGUGAGACUGCCGGUGACAAACCGGAGGAAGGUGGGGACGACGUCAAAUCAUCAUGCCCCUUAUGACCUGGGCUACACACGUGCUACAAUGGAUGGUACAACGAGUCGCGAAACCGCGAGGUUAAGCUAAUCUCUUAAAACCAUUCUCAGUUCGGACUGUAGGCUGCAACUCGCCUACACGAAGUCGGAAUCGCUAGUAAUCGCGGAUCAGCAUGCCGCGGUGAAUACGUUCCCGGGCCUUGUACACACCGCCCGUCACACCAUGAGAGUUUGUAACACCCAAAGCCGGUGGGGUA
rnacentral:rRNA from 1 species